rnacentral:rRNA from 1 species
GACGGGGGGGGCAAGUGUUCUUCGGAAUGACUGGGCGUAAAGGGCACGUAGGCGGUGAAUCGGGUUGAAAGUGAAAGUCGCCAAAAAGUGGCGGAAUGCUCUCGAAACCAAUUCACUUGAGUGAGACAGAGGAGAGUGGAAUUUCGUGUGUAGGGGUGAAAUCCGUAGAUAUUCGCAAGAACACCGGUGGCGAAGGCGGCUCACUGGCCCGAUACUGACGCUGAGGCACGAAAAGCGUGGGGUAGCAAACAGG